rnacentral:tRNA from 1 species
GGGUCUGUAGCUCAGGUGGUUAGAGCGCACGCCUGAUAAGCGUGAGGUCGGAAGUUCAACUCUUCCCAGACCCACCA